GAAUGAAUGUAGAGUCGGUUGUCGCUGGUCCCUUCGGGGGCAUGUGCACGCCUUCUCUUUCCUCCACACACACCUGUGCACUCGUGAGACGGAAGCCCUCGGCAGUCCGUCUGCUCUACAUAAACUCAUAUAUAUAAUUUGAAUGUAAUUGAUGUAAUACAUCUUUAAACUAAGUUUCAACAACGGAUCUCUUGGCUCU
rnacentral:misc_RNA from 1 species